rnacentral:misc_RNA from 1 species
CCUUAGAGCACACCAGAUAGU